GUCAGUAAGUUAGGAAAAAAAAUACAAAUAACCCAGAACUGUUUAGCGAUGGAAAUCACACAUUGCCAUAGGAAAGAAAAUGUACUUCAUACCUUCGCAAUGAGAACCAUUUCCUUGAUAUCCAUGUUUACAAAUACAGCUAAAUGAUCCUUUAGAGUUGAUGCAGAUCGCGUCUGAAUGACAAUUGUGUGUUCCAGAUGAACA